AUGGUGGGGCGCUCCCGGAUUCCGGGUGUCCCACGAGUUGGCGACAAGGAAAUGAGUGACAAUACGGACACGAUGCAGACAAAGGGUGCAUCUCAUCCAACAUGCAUUCAUUCGUUCACGGGCGUCGUCUCGGUGUUAUACCUUCAAGGUGGCAUUGACGCAUCUGUUCAUAAAGUACUUGGCGGUUUCGUGUAA
rnacentral:rRNA from 1 species